AGGAAGUUAGUCUAACCUAAGACAGCUGGUUUCGGCCUAGCAGAUUAUAGCACAACCCUAUAACUUCCUU
rnacentral:tRNA from 1 species